CGAACGCGAAAGGGGCUUCGGCCCUGAGUAGAGUGGCGAACGGGUGAGUAACACGUGGGUGAUCUACCUCUGAGUGGGGGAUAACGUUCCGAAAGGAGCGCUAAUACCGCAUGACGUUCCGGGUUUGAAGACCUGGAAACCAAAGCCGGGGACCGCAAGGCCUGGCGCUUGGAGAGGAGCCCGCGCCUGAUUAGCUGGUUGGUGGGGUAACGGCCCACCAAGGCGACGAUCAUUAGCCGGCCUGAGAGGGCGGACGGCCACACUGGGACUGAGACACGGCUCAGACUCCUACGGGAGGCAGCAGUGGGGAAUUGCUCGCAAUGGGCGCAAGCCUGACGACGCAACGCCGCGUGGAGGAUGAAGGUCUUCCGAACAACGCUUGCCACCUCUGUAUUACCGCGGCUGCUGGCACACAGUUAGCCGUGGCUUCCUCAAUCGGUGCCGACACUGCCCCAACGUGUUGGGUUGGAGCCCAUUCAUCCCGAUCAAGGGGAGUUUACAAUCCAAAUACCUUCAUCCUCCACGCGGCGUUGCGUCGUCAGGCUUGCACCCAUUGCGAGCAAUUCCCCACUGCUGACUCCCGUAGGAGUCUGAGACGUGUCUCACUCCCAGUGUGGCCGUCCGCCCUCUCAAGCCGGCUACUGAUCGUCGCCUUGGUGGGCCGUUACCCCACCAACCAGCUAAUCAGGCGCGGGCUCCUCUCCAAGCGCCAAGCCUUGCGGUCCCCGGCUUUGGUUUCCACGUCUUCAAACCCAGAACGUCAUGCGGUAUUAUCGCUCCUUUCGGAACGUUAUCCCCCCCCUCAGAGGUAGAUCACCCACCUGUUACUCACCCGC
rnacentral:rRNA from 1 species